UUCGCCUCCAUUGUCAUCCUAGUCGAAAUCCCCAAGUGUCGGAUCAUCUUCAACCCCAAUCGGAGAACAUUCAGAUACUCACCUCACUCGAAAAUCUUCAAAAAUUCACAGUAAACGAAAGCGAACCCCAAACUUCACUGCUUGCUUCCACUCUUUUAUUUCUUUCCUGCCUUUGAUUCUAUUUAUCAUACAAUUCCAAUCUCAGCAAAACCCAAACGAGAAAGACACUCUGGUUCGAGCGUUUGCUGUCCCCAAAGAGUCUCUGUUUACAGAGAUCGGAGGAGAAAGAUAUCCGCUUAUCACGAAAUGAUAACUCGGUCUAAACUCGUUGAGCAACUCAGAGAUUACCAGAUCCGAUCUCAAAACACCUACCCUGCUCUUAUCUUUUUCUCUCCCAAACCCCAUAUCCUUUCCUGGGCAGAUGAAGCCGUGGCUAUUUUUUGUGCUUUCGUAUUUAGUGUGUUAGUUAUAUUGUCCUAUUUGUCGCUUUAUUUUCGUCACUUCUGGCUUUCCUCGAUCACUAUAUGCCUUGGUAUAUUUCUUCCAAUAUGCUUGAGAGGUUAUAGGCAGGCUCUGGUCAAGAAGAGGGAGAGAAAAUUUCUAUUACCCUUGUCCAUGUGAGCCUUUUGUGGCACUGAGUUUGAUUCAUCAUAUGAGCUGCCCCUGGAUGGCUUUUUACCCGUUUCUGCGAACGGGGCACAUUCGAACAUCCUGUAAAUUGAACUUGGUCAGUAAAGACUGCUGCUUGGCUGCUUUUAAAGUAGACGGUACAACUUCACACCACCCUACAUGAAGCCCAUGCAGACACUUGGAAUCUGUAACAUUUCACAGUUCUUUGUACAAAGAAACAAACAAUAUGCCUAUAAUAUGAGAGCAUUGAAGAAGAAAAGAAACCAUUUUUAGAUUGAA